GACGAACGCUGGCGGCGUGCUUAACACAUGCAAGUCGAACGGAAAGGUCAUGAUUUUGUGGGGUGCUCGAGUGGCGAACGGGUGAGUGAAACGUGAGUAACCUGCCCUUGACUUUGGGAUAAAAUCAGGGAACUGGGGCUCAUACCGGGUAGGAGCUCCUGCUGCAUGGUGGGGGUUGGAAAAUGUCGGCGGUUUUGGCUGGAAUAGCGGCUUAUCAGCUUGUUGGUGGGGUAGUGGAUUACCAAGGGUUUGACGGGUAGCCGGCCUGAGAGGGUGACCGGCCACAUUGGGACUGCGAGACGGCCCAGAAUCGUACGGGCGGCAGCGGGGGGGAAUAUUGCACAAUGGGGGGAAGCCUGAGGCAGCAACGCCGCGUGCGGGAUGACGGCCUUCGGGUUGUAAACCGCUUUGGCCGGAGACGAAGAGGGAGUGACGGUAAUGGGUAAAGAAGCACCGGCUAACUACGUG
rnacentral:rRNA from 1 species